GACGAACGCUGGCGGCGUGCUUAACACAUGCAAGUCGAACGAAGUGGCGAACGGGUGAGUAAUACGUGGGUAACCUGCCCUCCUUUUUGGGAUAAGCCUUGGAAACGGGGUCUAAUACCGAAUAAAGGGGGAUGGGCUCGCGGCCUAUCAGCUUGUUGGUGGGGUGAUGGCCUACCAAGGCGGUGACGGGUAGCCGGCCUGAGCGGGUGACCGGCUAGAUGGGGACUGAGAUACGGCCCAGAAUCGUACGGGAGGCAGCAGUGGGGGAUAUUGCACAAUGGGCGAAAGCCUGAGGCAGCGAGGCCGCGGGAGUGAUGGCGGCCUUCGGGUUGUAAAGCUCUGUUAAGCGGACAGCGGUACCGGAAUAGAAAGCCACGGCUAACUACGUGCCAGCAGCCGCGGUAAUAC
rnacentral:rRNA from 1 species